CUCUUGCCGAUGAGGUUCAUUAUGACCCCAUCUUUGAGCGAAUGUGGCGGCCAUUAUACAUGGCUAUGACUAAAUACUAAAUCACACACGUAUCGACACGUUCUUCGGGGUGCCUAUUUAGGUCGGAGAUAUGGGAUGCGUGGAGGUCUAACC
rnacentral:misc_RNA from 1 species